GCGAAAUACUUCACAUAUAGGAGUAGUAAUUCCGUGAAGUCUCAAUCCUUCCUCUCAUUAACUUGGUGUUUAUUUUUUUAAAAUGCUUUUCUAAGUGUAAACAGUUUUAUCCUAGUAAAAGAAAAUUUAAUGACCAAAAACCCAUAUCUCUCUAGUUUCAAAAUCCUUAGUAGUCUUCAGCGUAUAUUAAUUGCUGUGGAAAACCUAUGUCUUUUUGGGAUGGAGUCUGCAAAUUUUUUUUAUUAGUUUUUAUGAAUUCUGGCUUAUGAACUCUUAUUAAAUUUCAUAAUCAAAAGCACCUUUGCCAACUUUGACUAAUAUACCUUAAGAAAAUUUCAUUGAACUUUCUUGUUCUCGAGCAAUUUAUUCUCGACUAACCAAAAUUUUAUUUGAUUUGAGCCUUAUUUGUUCACACUAGGAGCAUGAAACUUUCAUACCGUUUUAUUUGAGCUUUGUAUUUUCGUGCACCAAACACAACCUAGGUUGUAGUAUUAUAUCAAUUUUUGCUUUAUAAUUUAAAAGACCAGACGACAUGCAGCUGAUUUUCAAAGUUGCAUAUGAAGGAAGCUUGUAUAAUUUGACUCUUCUCUCAUGGGAGGUAAAAUUUUUAUUAUUUUUUUUUUGGGAACCGGCGUACUAAUGGACAUUUGAUCAGAUAAAUCGGAGUUCUAUCAACCGCAAAAAGGAUAUAAAGGCGAGGCUUUCCUUUUACAAUUUUGAUGAUAGAGGUUAAAUAAAAAGUUUUUAUUUUCCGUAUUUCAUUUUCCGGUUACAAAUUCGUCCUUUCGGUUGGCAUGCAAAAAUGAACAUCCUUGUUAUCGCUAUAACAUUUUAAUGGCUGCAAUUUGUCAGCACGCAGUAAUUCUGUAAAUAUCUUUAGCAAUCGCGGAUUUUUUUUUUUGAAAAUUAAAAAUUAUAAGUCAGACUAAUGAGUGCAAAAAAAUUUCCAUUCCAUCUUAACCCUAUAAAGUCAUAUCAGAAGUGGAACAGUCAACUUGCUCAAGUGUCUUCCAUUAAACCAUCUUAUUUGACCAAAUAAUAUUGUUAAAGGCAUUGAAAGUACCGCUAUUAUCUCAUCUGAUAGUGACCAUAAAAUCAUGAAAUGGUUAACAGUGUUGAAGUGAAACCAGAACAAAGAAAACCAUGUUUCAACACGCCAGAAUUAAAUUAAAAGGCUCAAAAAAUAAAAAAAAGGAUGUUAAAUAGGUAGACGCGACGAUUACUGUUUAAUAAUGAAUAGCAGACUCGGGAUCAUAUUAUACUCUUCAGUAAUGUUACUUUUCAUUUAAGUUAAAUGAUAACAGCAAAAACAAUCAUAAGUUUUAGGACUUGAACGUGAUAUUUGUUGCGCUAAAUAAUGAACUUUUUGAGCUUAACGAAAACUUUGAGAAUUCACUUAUUUAUCAACUACAAAGAAAAUUAACUACACAAUUAUUUGGUUCGUUCCAUUUGUUUUCAAUCAAAAUUUUUAUUGAGUAAAAAGCUUACACAUGAAGGAUAUAGUUACAGUUUGUCAUCCGUUGAUCAAAGCUUAAAUUUCUUUCCAGCGGCCUUUCACAUCCACUUUGGCACGUUCUUGAAGCUUUUUUCCAUGCUUUUUAGCCUUAUCAAUCAAUUUUGGUUCAUCAAUCGUUAAUAAAACAUGAUCUUCCACAAUCAGUUUUCCAUCAAUUACUACUGUCGCAACAUCAGCUCCAGUAGCAAUAUAAACCACAGCAGAUACAAGAUCUCUAAGAGGUUGCGCAUAAAGCUUAUUAGAUAAAUCUAAAGAAAUGAAGUCAGCUUUUUUGCCGACCUCUAAAGAGCCCAAAUCAUCUCUUCCCAAUGCCUUUGCACCAUUUAUUGUAGCCAUUUCAACGAUUUUCUCAGCGGGAACUAUAGACGGAUCACCAUGUAAAGCCUUUGGAAGCAAAGACGCCAUCUUCAUUUCUUGCAAUAGAUCCAUAGUGUUAUUACAAGGACAUCCAUCACAACCAAUCCCAACUAUUAUUGACUUCUCGAGCAUUUCUUUUAGUGGGGCGAUUCCACUACCUAGUUUGGAAUUUGAUACCGGGCAAUGAGCCACAGAAGUUCCAUUUCCGUGUUUCUCCAAAAUUUCUAAAUCUUGAGUAUCGAGAUGAACCAUAUGUGCUAAAACAGUCUUUGGUCCUAAAAGACCUAGAUCUUUGCAGUAUGUCAUCGGAGUAUGUUCCUUGCUAGCAAAAAACUCUCUGUCGGCUUUUACUUCUGCACAGUGCAUCGUAAUUCCAAUAUUAUUUGCUCUGGCAAUUUUAACCAUUUUACGAUACAACUCUUCAGAAACACCACCAGGUGUUCGUGCUCCGAACCAUAUCUCGACUCGGCCAUUUCCUUUCCCAUGGAAUUUGCUAUGGCUUUCAACUGCUUGGUUGAGCGAAUUAGAAUUUUCAAUCAAACCCUCAUGCAUGCUAACUCCAGUUUGAGUAGCAUACCUUGGUUGAUCCAUUACCACUUUUCCUAUGCAACCCCUUAUUCCCGAUUCUAUUACCGCUUUGACCGCACCCUCAAUUCCAUACCGUUGAGCAAAUAGUGCCUCAACGAAUGUUGUGGUCCCAGAUUUUAACAUUUCCGCAAUGGUUAAUUGCGAAGCAACGUAUCCAUCUUCUUGGGUGAAAUUACCCUGCAUCUUCCAAACAGUGUCACAUAACCAAGAAAUUAGAGGCAAAUCGUCGGCUGCAGAACGCAAAAGUGACUGUGCUAGAUGUACAUGGAGAGAUAUGAGUCCAGGCAUCACUAUAUGGCCUUCUAAAGAUUUAUGUUUUUCAUUUGGAUAUAUUGAAACUAGUCUAUCCGUUUUUCCUAUAUCAUCGAUGGUAUUAGAACCAUCCUUGACUAGUAUUGCUCCAUCAAUUAGUAUAUCACGUGUUGGAUUUACCGUAAUAAUAUUAGCGUGAGUAUACAACAUUUUUCGGUAAAUUUUGAUUAAAUUUAUCUGGUAUAUAUAUAUUAUUAGUAUGUAUUAUCCUAUUCGGUAAUAAUCCGCUAUGUCGGAUAACUUUAAAUAGAUAAGCGGCACCCGCAACUUAACCAUCAACGACCUGUUUGGGCUGUUAGUAAUAAUUAUUUAUUCUG
rnacentral:lncRNA from 1 species